UACAGAGGGGGCAAGCGUUAUUCGGAAUUAUUGGGCGUAAAGGGCGCGUAGGCGGCAUGGCAAGUGGAUGGUGAAAUCCCUCGGCUUAACCGAGGAACUGCCGUCCAAACUGCUUCGCUUGAGACCGGGAGAGGUGAGUGGAAUUCCCAGUGUAGCGGUGAAAUGCGUAGAUAUUGGGAGGAACACCAGCGGCGAAGGCGGCUCACUGGACCGGUACUGACGCUGAAGCGCGAAAGCGUGGGGAGCAAACGGG
rnacentral:rRNA from 1 species